rnacentral:rRNA from 1 species
GACAGAGGGUGCAAACGUUGUUCGGAAUUACUGGGCGUAAAGCGCGUGUAGGCUGCUCGAACAGUCGGGUGUGAAAGCCCUCGCUCAACCGAGGAAGUGCGCCCGAAACUGCAGAGCUUGAGUACCGGAGAGGAUGGCGGAAUUCCCCAAGUAGAGGUGAAAUUCGUAGAUAUCGAGAGGAACACCUGCGGCGAAGGCGGGUAGCUGGGCCGACACUGACGCUGAGGCGCGAAAGCCAGGGGAGCGAACGGG